rnacentral:rRNA from 1 species
AACGAACGCUGGCGGCAGGCUUAACACAUGCAAGUCGAGCGCCCCGCAAGGGGAGCGGCAGACGGGUGAGUAACGCGUGGGAACCUACCUGAAGGUACGGAACAACUCCGGGAAACUGGAGCUAAUACCGUAUGUGCCCGAAAGGGGAAAGAUUUAUCGCCUUCAGAUGGGCCCGCGUCAGAUUAGCUAGUUGGUGGGGUAAUGGCCCACCAAGGCGACGAUCUGUAGCUGGUCUGAGAGGAUGAUCAGCCACACUGGGACUGAGACACGGCCCAGACUCCUACGGGAGGCAGCAGUGGGGAAUAUUGGACAAUGGGCGCAAGCCUGAUCCAGCCAUGCCGCAUGAGUGAUGACGGCCUUAGGGUUGUAAAGCUCUUUCGACGGGGACGAUAAUGACGGUACCCGUAGAAGAAGCCCCGGCUAACUUCGUGCCAGCCGCCGCAGUAACAC